GAGGUAGAUAGGCUGGGGGUGGAAGUGCAGCAAUGCAUGGAGCUGACCAGUACUAAUCGGUCGAGGGCUUAUCCAAUU
rnacentral:rRNA from 1 species